rnacentral:lncRNA from 1 species
CAGGUUUCUACGUGGAUUGAGAUUUAUAUUUCUAUUAGACUUAAGAUUUCUUUAGACUGAGAUUUAUUUUCAAAUCGGUUUCUAUUUCUUUAUGGAAACUAGAGUUAUGUUUUGUAAUUCCUCUUAGGAUUUGGAUUUCUAGUUUCCAUAAGAUUUAAGACUUUAUUCUAGCACUAUAAAUACAUGGUAAUAGUUAGUAGUUAAUGGGAGCUUGGCUACACCAUUGUAACCCUAGUCUUGGAAGAUUGAAGAUUGAAGACAUGAGCUAAGUUCUUUAUUUU